AGAGCCAUCCUUGGAAGUGUGAGCGACCAUUGUGCCAAACAUGCAAAAUGUCCAGUGGUGAUCGUGAAGCAGCCAGAGGAAAAUUGACUUAAUUUCCUGCCACAAACUUUCCAAGGGAUGAUUCCAUCUUUCUGCUAGAAUCUUGUACAUAUACAUAGAAUACACUUAUCUGCUUAUAAAAGAGCCAGCCCUUGUAUCACAAAUCCAUUUCAUUCCGUCUAGCAGGAACUAUGAAAAGAGAAAUUAUUCAGUGCAUCUUCUGAUUAUAAGAACAGUGCAUUGAUUUCUCACACUCUUCCCGAAUUCACGUGAUUUGAGCAUAGUAGAAUUUCCCCUGCUAUGGUGUUUGCAUUAUCAUCUACUCUGUGUGUUCAAAGAAAAAGCAGAUACAGCCAUCUCACAGUGACGUAUCAACACAAAUUGUCAAGGUGUUGGUCCCACCAGCUAGCUCCAACAGAAGUGAUACCCUGCAUACAGGCCUAAUCCACACGAGCUUAACACAAAUUUACCCGCAGCGAGACUUAUUCAAAUUAUAGAAAUACCAACUACGGCAAAUAGCCAAUGAAAACAGAGUUGAAGUCGAAUCAAACGACAAAAUUGGUUUACUUCAGUAUAAGAAAAUUUGUUUUAAUUUUGAUUUGAUUAUUAAUUCAUAAAAUUUUCAGUCUUCAAUUCAGUCAUCUUAAAAAUGGCAACAAGGAUGACCAAAACAAAAUAUUUAUUAAUUAAUAUAUAAAUCAUAUAUAACCUUUUGUUAUUGUUAUAUUUUUAGUAAAUAAUCUAACCAAACUAUGUUGAGCAUGCAUAAACUAAAAAGCUAGGCAUCCGUUACAGAAUUAGGCCACUACAUAAUAACCCCAACCUUAGAGAAUUAGCAACCCUGUGAGCAGAGUCAUUUGCCGAUCUGUAGAUAAAAAUAACAAUAACAGAAGGAAGAUCUGUUCACAUCCUGAAUGAUAGCCUCUAACUCCCUGGGAAGCGAAGCUAGAGGAGCAGAAAUGAUCUGAGCCAACUGAGGACAAUCAGUUUCUAUUGUAGCAUUCUGAAAACCUCUACUGAUACUAAAGGAAACAGCAGCUCAUCAAGAAAAAACUUCUGCAGCAAGGGCUGAGGAGCUAACAAAAGAUCCUGCACAUCCAUCAAAAAGAUGACCUGUCGCAUUUCGAACGACUACUCCAUACCCAGCCAAACCUGCACCUUGCUCAUAAGAAGCAUCUACGUUAAUUUUAAAGACUCCUGCAGAGGGGGUGUGAGGGCGGGGUGG
rnacentral:misc_RNA from 1 species